UCUGUAGCGAGGGCUUUGUUUGUAAACUGAGGGUUCCCCUACGAGGCAAGGAGAGAAGUCGAGACUGGAGGGGGCUGCUUUAUCCUCCUCGUAAAAUGCAACCUUGACUGAAACGACAACAUGGUUAGUUCAAAUGGAAACGCAUCUUUCCUGUAGCAUCCUUCAGAAAGAGAUAAAGAAACUGAAUUUCAGAGAGGUUAUGCAGCUCAUCCGAAGUCACACAAUUGCAAUGAAGGAGAUAGGACGUGGACCAGGCACUCCGGAUCCAGUGUAUGUCCUCUUAGUUUGCGCUCCACUAUCUGUUGCUUAGAGAUGAGCUCUGAAGAACCAGCCCAGAUAAAGAAGACUUUCCUAGAAUACAUAGAAUUGAGGGUAACAAGCAAAAUUUCUGUUGAGUCAUUGCUAUUGUUCUUAGAAAUCACAGAUGUUUACAAGGGACAUUAAAGAUCAUUCAAGCCAA